rnacentral:lncRNA from 1 species
AUUGUGGUGCAGAUUGGGAUUGCAGAUUACUUCAAAGAGCCCAGCAGUCCCGAGGCCCAGAAGCUGUUUGAGGACAUGGUGACAAAACUCCAGGCCCUGCGUCGGAGGCCUGGCUUCUCGAAGAUUCUGCACAUCAAGGUAGAAGGUGGUUGCUAACCCGGGUGAGGGGCGGCAGGGCACCUGCCAGCCCCACACCAAGUGCUCUUUGGACCUCUGGAGAGGCCCUGGCUUGGACUAGACCUUUGGAGGCCUAGUGUUACCCCAGGUUCCAGACAGUGGUUGAAUAUCCUGUCCAGUUGGGACAGCAGUGACAGGUGACUCAGAGCACUGCCUCCCCGGGACAGGGGACUUGGAAAGAAGCUGCCCUGAGACACCUCUCCCCUCACAUCCCCAGCUGGAAUGGCCUGCUGGUACAGCCAGCAAGGAGCUGACACACCUGCUGCUGGUUGUCACUGCGCAGAGGAUCUGCAGUAGCCACCCAGGGCCUCCUCAGCUGCUCAGGCAGGCCAUCUCCUGGUCAGGAGCCAGAUGGGGCUUAAAGCAGCUCAGACGUGGCAAGGAGGACUCUUCUCCCCUUUUCGUGACCGAGCCCUCUGUAAGGCCUUUCUUCCAGGUCCACAUUCUCCAGUGAUAAUCUAGGCGAGCCUAGGAAUCCAGGGACAAGGUUAGCUGAAAGUUGAGGCAGGGCCAUAAGGGUGAAUUUCAAAAGCUAAAAUAAAAUGUCUAUAGAGUACACCAGGCAGGAUGAGGCCUACACCUCCCCAGCAGGUAAAGUACUGGUCAGUUGGAGGAGGCUACUUCUCGCUACCACAAUAUAGAGCUAAGCUCAAAGCAGUCUCUAUACAACUCCUUGCUUCGGGGAUCACAGAGAGCAAGGGACCCAGCAAAGCCCUACAGUGAGAAGGGACCUCUUAACCCAGGCAUUUCGGCAAGAUCCCCAAAGGGAGGGGAGACCCCGGGCUACCUGCUGUGCUGGAGUUUGGGGGAGGGGGAGCUUGCUUGACCUAACUAGUGGCUUGAGAAGCCUUUGGCAAGGAGCCAGAUCCUGGUGCUGAGGCGGAGGAAUAAUUUCCACAGCCUGUGUCUCUACAGUCCUGGGCUGAAACUAUAGUAGGAGAAUCCUUGUGAUAGGGUGUCGCCGGCCCUUGCAUCGUACCCAAGAAGUCUGGUCACCAAAGCCCCACUGGCUGAGCACACCUAACCGAAUUCCUCUGCUCAGAACGUGGAGUGGCCGAGGCCAUGAGUCUUGGCAGCCCUCAUUUGGGCAGAUCUUUCAAACGCCUGGUUUGUCGUCCACAUCUUAGGGUUUUCUUUGCUCCUUUGUAAGGUGGGAUCCUCUUGCCAGUUUUCUCCAGCUGUGCCACACCCUGGACUGGGUGCAAACCCAUCUGUAUGUUGCUGCCACACAAGUCCCUUCCAUUGCUGCACAGCCUCCAGCUCGAUGCUCCCCGAUCCUAUAGCCCUGUCCCAGUUUAUCAUCAUCGCUGAGUUGCGUGGCUUGCUCUGUACCUGCUCUUUACACACUGAAAUGCCAAGGCUGUCAGUGCUGGAUACUCCAUGCCUAGUCCUGCAUGAAACCUUGGCUGUGUGGUAUCUAUGCCCCUACCUCUCACAGCUGCCUCCCGUUACUCCCACCUCCCCAGCCUUGUCCCCAAGGAGUCACAGGCAACAGCACAACUUUCCUCUCCUUCUGUGACCCAGAAGGGAGGUGGAGGUGCACUUGGGCCCCAGCUGCCUUUAGUAGGUCAGUUGUUUUGCCAGCUGCAUCCAUGUAGCUCCUGCUCCCUGUGACUCUUAAGACCAGAGGUGCUGCCCUUCCUGUCUCUUGGAUAAAGCACAAAGUAAUGUAGCUGGCCAAGCCUGCCAGCAGGGGCUUCUGUUUCACAAUCCUAGGAUUUGGACAUCUCCCUGGGCAGGGGAGGCACUAGAAUGCCUGGGUGCACAGGGUUGCACAGCCAUCAGGGCAGGAGGCAGGACCAAGAUGCUGGUUCCAGGCAUUCUGACCCACGGACAGGGAAACCUACCCCUAAGAAGUCUCACCUGUGUUCUUGCUCUGAGUAAAGGUGAGUAAAGUGAAAAUUGCAGACCUAAGCCUUUACCAACCUAAGUGACAGGUCACUGUGUCCUGGCUGAGUCUUGGGCAUCUUAGUCUUCAGGCAUGCGGAGAGCCAGCAGCUCUGUCUCCAAGUUGUGGUUUCUUUGCUUUCUCCAAAGGGGGCCAUCCCUGCUUCUGGGUGCUGUGCUCAUUUCUAUCUUGAGCAGUCACAGAGCCAAUGGGGAUAGGGUGGGUGCCUGGCUUCCUUAGAAGCACCUCAGCCUUUCUUCAGCCACUCAAAGGGAAGAGGGAAGCCCUCUGCGUCUCAUACUUAAGUAAGGCACAGAAAACUCGCGUGGGCAUGCCCUGCUCCAGAAGCACUGGGUCAAUGGAGAAGAAGGCUCACAGGUGGCAGCCACUUGCCAUCUCUUCCACUCCCAUCCCCUGCCAAACAGCACGUGUAAAUUGGGGCAUGGUUUGGCUUGAGUACUUCAUGCUUAUGCAGGCUGCUUUUCCCCACAGUUAUGGCAAAAAAUGUAUGCACCUUGCCCAGAACACCAGCUUUCCACCCAUCGAGAGAGUACCCUAAAAUUAGGCUUUUCUUUU